rnacentral:rRNA from 1 species
CCUACGGGUGGCAGCAGUGAGGAAUAUUGGUCAAUGGGCGGGAGCCUGAACCAGCCAAGCCGCGUGAGGGAAGAAGGUACAGCGUAUUGUAAACCUCUUUUGUCAGGGAACAAAGGCGGGGACUAGUCCCCGGAUGAGGGUACCUGAAGAAAAAGCAUCGGCUAACUCCGUGCCAGCAGCCGCGGUAAUAAGGAGUAUGCGAGCGUUAUCCGGAUUUGUUGGGUGUAAAGGUUGCGCAGGCUGCCUGUUAAGUCAGCGGUAAAAGCCCGGGGCUCAACCCCGGCGAGCCGGUGAAACUGGCGGGCUGGAGUUGGAGAGAAGUAAGCGGAAUGCGCGGUGUAGCGGUGAAAUGCGUAGAUAUCGCGCAGAACCCUGAUUGCGAAGGCAGCGUACCGGCUCCAAACUGACGCUGAGGCACGAAGGCGUGGGUAUCGAACAGGAUUAGAUACCCCAGUAGUC